rnacentral:rRNA from 1 species
UACACUCCUACGGGAGGCAGCAGUGGGGAAUUUUGGACAAUGGGCGAAAGCCUGAUCCAGCAAUGCCGCGUGAGUGAAGAAGGCCUUCGGGUUGUAAAGCUCUUUUGUCAGGGAAGAAACGGUGAAAGCUAAUAUCUUUUGCUAAUGACGGUACCUGAAGAAUAAGCACCGGCUAACUACGUGCCAGCAGCAGCGGUAAUACGUAGGGUGCAAGCGUUAAUCGGAAUUACUGGGCGUAAAGCGUGCGCAGGCGGUUUUGUAAGUCUGAUGUGAAAUCCCCGGGCUCAACCUGGGAAUUGCAUUGGAGACUGCAAGGCUAGAAUCUGGCAGAGGGGGGUAGAAUUCCACGUGUAGCAGUGAAAUGCGUAGAUAUGUGGAGGAACACCGAUGGCGAAGGCAGCCCCCUGGGUCAAGAUUGACGCUCAUGCACGAAAGCGUGGGGAGCAAACAGGAUUAGAUACCCCUGUAGUCCC